rnacentral:rRNA from 1 species
GUGCCAGCAGCCGCGGUAAUACCGGCAGCCCGAGUGAUGGCCGAUCUUAUUGGGCCUAAAGCGUCCGUAGCUGGCCGCGCAAGUCCGUCGGGAAAUCCAUCAGCCCAACUGAUGGGCGUCCAGCGGAAACUGUCCGGCUUGGGGCCGGAAGACCCGAGGGGUACGUCCGGGGUAGGAGUGAAAUCCUGUAAUCCUGGACGGACCGCCGGUGGCGAAAGCGCCUCGGGAGGACGGACCCGACAGUGAGGGACGAAAGCCAGGGUCUCGAACCGGAUUAGAUACCCUAGUAGUCC